GUUUUAUAAUUGGUGUGAAAAUACUAGCGAGGCUUGAUCAUAAAAGUAUUCAGAUGCGCAAAAGAUUACAAGUGAGUGGUUGCAAACUCUAGAGGAGUUUGUGAGGUAUAGCGCAGACAAUUCAAGAGUUGUUGCUUGUUAGUAAAACCCAACUACUGAACUUGAUGAGCUCAGUAAAACUACUGAACUUGUGAGUACCUAUUAAAUAAGUACCCAACAAAAUAAAGAAGAGCUCAUUAAGUUCCUUCUCUUGAAAAACUGUUAUGCAUUCCCAAAUUCACCGAGUCACCCCAAAAGCAAGCAGUGCUUACGUCCCAAAUUGCAGAACAUGAUUCUGAUUAUAAAUGAAGAUAUUGGUAAAAUCAGUAAGUUUCUCAUAGACCAUACAAAUAAUAGACAUUCUGAUUACAUAAAACUAAACUUUGCCAUAAUGCAGAUCAUACAAAUUUCACAACCCAAUCCUUCCUGAGAGAGAAAAAACCCAAAACACACAAAUUUUACAAUCUUAAUGAAAUGCCCACGCUGCAUUUUUUCCUCUUGCAAUAAUGUUUUUUGUGACAAUUCCUUUUGCAAUAAUGUUAUUACUUCCAUUGUAUCAAUGAUUCGUCGCCAGCUUCUGCGAGUUCAAAGAUGCAUAAAUAAAUUCAACAAAAGAAAUUACAUAAUGAUCCAUUUGAACAAGAAAAAUUUUAUAUUUUAUAAGUAUACUUAUAUCUAUGAGUAUUUAUAGUUGUAAUUCCAAAUUCACAAUAUAAUUUAUAUUCAAUAAAUCUACUCAGCCAAAUAAAAGACUAAAAUUCAUGUAUCAAAUUGAAAUCCUCCAUUUAAAUGACUAUUUAACUUCAUAAAAAUUUAAAAAAAGGAUUUAAUUUCAGAAGUAAUACCUUUCCCAGGAACAAUUAUAACAGGGGCUGCUUUACAAUGGUGGAAGCAGUACUCACUCACACUUCCCUGCAGCACACUGCGAGAUAAUAGCAAGAUUUCCUUAAUUGAGCUGUUUUCUAACAGAACAGAGAAAAACAGGGAGAGGGUACCUUUGAACUAUGCCUCUGCCUCUGGUACCCAUCACUACAGCUGCAGGCCUCAAUCUCUCUGCUUCUUUACAAAUAACCUUACCUGCAUCCCCUUCCACAAUCCGAGCCACACUCUUCACCAUAACAACCUGGAAAGCCUCCACAGCAAGCUUCUCCAUAAGCCCUUGGGCCAUCUCAUAAACAACAUCAUUUUUCACGCUGGAAACAGCAUGGACAAGAUGGAUAGUAUCAGCUAGCCUGCAGAGAUGGAUCAAGGCCCAAUCAAAGGCGUGUUUGCUGUUGGGUCCAUGAUCGAUAGCUAUGAGUAUGUCUCUGCCUCUCCUCCUCUCUCCACUCUCUCUCUCGAGCUCUGGUUUAGGAACCACAGGGAUCAAAGAUGGAAGAGUCACUUCUCUCCAAUUGUACUCUUCUUCUUCAUUCAGAACCUCCAUUUCUUCGUUAUCUCCGUUCUUCUCGCUCGUCAAACAAUGAAUCUGUUAUUGCUUUUGUUUUGUUUUAGUGGUGGAGCUCUUGGACUUUUCUUU
rnacentral:misc_RNA from 1 species